GACGUAGGGCGCGAGCGUUGUCCGGAUUUAUUGGGCGUAAAGAGCUCGUAGGCGGCUUGUCGCGUCGACUGUGAAAACCCGCGGCUACAACUGUGGGCUUGCAGUCGAUACGGGCAGGCUGGAGUUCGGUAGGGGAGACGUGGAAUUCCUGGUGAGCGGUGGAAAUGCGCAGUAUAUCAGGAGGAACACCGGUGGCGAAGGCGGGUCUCUGGGCCGAUACUGACGCUGAAGGAGCGAAAGCGUGGGGAGCGAACAGG
rnacentral:rRNA from 1 species